rnacentral:rRNA from 1 species
GACGAACGCUGGCGGCGUGCUUAACACAUGCAAGUCGAACGGAAAGGCCCUGCUUUUGUGGGGUGCUCGAGUGGCGAACGGGUGAGUAACACGUGAGUAACCUGCCCUUGACUUUGGGAUAACUUCAGGAAACUGGGGCUAAUACCGGAUAGGAGCUCCUGCUGCAUGGUGGGGGUUGGAAAGUUUCGGCGGUUGGGGAUGGACUCGCGGCUUAUCAGCUUGUUGGGGGGGUAGGGGCUUACCAAGGCGUUGACGGGUAGCCGGCCUGAGAGGGUGACCGGCCACAUUGGGACUGAGAUACGGCCCAGACUCCUACGGGAGGCAGCAGUGGGGAAUAUUGAACAAUGGGCGGAAGCCUGAUGCAGCAACGCCGCGUGCGGGAUGACGGCCUUCGGGUUGUAAACCGCUUUCGCCUGUGACGAAGCGUGAGUGACGGUAAUGGGUAAAGAAGCACCGGCUAACUACGUG